UUACGGCCAUAUCACGUUGAAACUCUGCUUCCCGUACGCCCACCGAAGUUAAGCAACGUCGGGCCUGGUCCGUACCUAGAUGGGUGACCGUUUGGGAAUACCACGUGCUGUAAA